rnacentral:rRNA from 1 species
GACGAACGCUGGCGGCGUGCCUAAUACAUGCAAGUCGAACGAGCGGCGGACGGGUGAGUAAUGUAUGGGGCUCUGCCCGAUAGAGGGGGAUAACUACUGGAAACGGUGGCUAAUGCCGCAUACUAUCGGAUGAACCCAUAUGGGAUGAGCUAUGAGGUGGGGUAAAGGAUCACUUAGGCGACGAUCUCUAGCUGGUCUGAGAGGAUGAUCAGCUACACUAGGACUGAAACACGGACCAGACUCCUGCGUGAGGCAGCAGUGGGGAAUAUUGCACAAUUGGCGCAAGACUGAUGCAGCCAUGCCGCGUGUAUUAAGAAGGCCUUAGUGUUGUAAAGGACUUUCAGCGGGGAGGCGUUACCCGCAGAAGAAGCACCGGCUAACUCCGUGCCAGCAGCCGCGGUAAUUC